UGAGUGUGUCUCCUCCACACGACAUCACCAGCAGUACUUCAGUUUGUCAUCCGCUGUAUCAUCUAGAUCAGAGUACUUUCAGCUCGCUACUAUGGCUAACUACGGCGUCAUGCUGCUGUUGGCGGUUGCAUCAAUGAUGGCCGGAUCGACCAAGGGAGGACCUGUUGGCCCGUCUCCUGUUUACGCCCCCAAGAAGGCAGAGUACGCCACCGAGGCUCCAAAGUACUACACCACAAAAACUCUUGAGUAGUAUACAACGGCAUCCUACUACACCACUGCAGCC